CAUUGUCAAUUUCCGGUAGAAAUUGUUCUCUAUCUCUUGCUCCAAAUUGAUGGGUCUGAUGAUCGUUUCCUAAUUUUGUUUUUAUGCGUUGCCCCGUUCGCAGCUGCUAACACACGCGUCUUCUGGGACGUCCUUGAUUUCCCAGUCCCUGAGGAUCGCAAUUUGGAUUCGUUUUAUAGUAAAGUCAAACAUGCUCUUCGGAUUGAGGGUUAUAUUGGUGACCUGUCAAUCUAUGCUUAUGGUGGUGUGGAUGCAAAAUGGAUCGACUUUUACAGUUCCAAUAUCGAGCUUGUACACAGAGCGGCUGAAAAGCAUGUGAGACUCAGUAAGAUGCUAGUGGACAUGCUUUACUGGGCAUUCUACAAUCUUAUGGAUGAACGACCAAAUAUGGAAACAAAUUUUCUCAUAGUUGCAAAAGACAUCCCAGAGAAAAACACGGACUUUUUCAAUGUCCUUGCAACUUUGAUGGCCAGAGAGUACAAUGUUUCCUUAGUAGUCCCUCUGACCAAGGUUUGUAUCGUUUUUUUUUUUGCGGUCCAACUAACAUAUCAACGAGUGCGAGCUAAAUUACAUUGACAACCAGUGGCAGUGUCCCUAGCCUCGCUCUCUAAAUUUUACUUGAUAGUGAUUGAUGCAAAACUCACUAUGAAUACUGUGGUUGCGGUUGCUUACAUAGCUUCACAAACUUCACAUAUUUAUAAUUAAGAAGUUGGUUGUUUUUGUCAUCCUUGCAUAUGUACAACUCUCCUGAGACAUGAAGACAAUUUGAUUCUCGGUCAGAGAAGAGAGAGGAAUAGGCUAUAGAGAAACUUUGACAUCUACAAAAA